rnacentral:rRNA from 1 species
AGUAACACGUGGGUAACCUGCCCAUCAGAGGGGGAUAACACUUGGAAACAGGUGCUAAUACCGCAUAAUAGUCGACACCGCAUGGUGUUGAUUUGAAAGGCGCUUUCGGGUGUCACUGAUGGAUGGACCCGCGGUGCAUUGGCUAGUUGGUGAGGUAACGGCUCACCAAGGCGAUGAUGCAUAGCCGACCUGAGAGGGUGAUCGGCCACACUGGGACUGAGACACGGCCCANACUCCUACGGGAGGCAGCAGUAGGGAAUCUUCGGCAAUGGACGAAAGUCUGACCGAGCAACGCCGCGUGAGUGAAGAAGGUUUUCGGAUCGUAAAACUCUGUUGUUAGAGAAGAACAAGUAGGAGAGUAACUGCUCUUACCUUGACGGUAUCUAACCAGAAAGCCACGGCUAACUACGUGCCAGCAGCCGCGGUAAUACGUANGUGGCAAGCGUUGUCCGGAUUUAUUGNGCGUAAAGCGAGCGCANGCGGUUUCUUAAGUCUGAUGUGAAAGCCCCCGGCUCANCCGGGGANGGUCAUUGNAAACUGGGANACUUGAGUGCANAAGAGGAGAGUGGAAUUCCNUGUGUAGCGGUGAAAUGCGUA